AGCGCAGACGGUUGAUUAAGUCUGAUGUGAAAGCCCGGAGCUCAACUCCGGAAUGGCAUUGGAAACUGGUUAACUUGAGUGUUGUAGAGGUAAGUGGAACUCCAUGUGUAGCGGUCGGAAUGCGUAGAUAUAUGGAAGAACACCAGUGGCGAAGGCGGCUUACUGGACAACAACUGACGUUGAGGCUCGAAAGUGUGGGUAGCAAACA
rnacentral:rRNA from 1 species